rnacentral:rRNA from 1 species
ACUAGUCGACGACCGGCGCACGGGUGCGUAACGCGUAUAGAACCUACCUAUAACUGGAGGAUAGCCCAGAGAAAUUUGGAUUAAUACUCCAUAGUAUAUUUAAUUGGCAUCGAUUAGAUAUUAAAGAUUUAUUGGUUAUAGAUGGCUAUGCGUUCUAUUAGCUAGUUAGUAUGGUAACGGCAUACCAAGGCUACGAUAGAUAGGGGUCCUGAGAGGGAGAUCCCCCACACUGGUACUGAGACACGGACCAGACUCCUACGGGAGGCAGCAGUGAGGAAUAUUGGACAAUGGAGGCAACUCUGAUCCAGCCAUGCCGCGUGCAGGAAGACUGCCCUAUGGGUUGUAAACUGCUUUUAUAGAGGAAGAAACCCCGGUAUGUAUACUGGUUUGACGGUACUCUACGAAUAAGGAUCGGCUAACUCCGUGCCAGCAGCCGCGGUAAUACGGAGGAUCCAAGCGUUAUCCGGAAUCAUUGGGUUUAAAGGGUCCGUAGGCGGGUCUGUAAGUCAGUGGUGAAAGUUUGCGGCUCAACCGUAAAAUUGCCACUGAUACUGCAGGUCUUGAAUUAUUGUGAAGUGGUUAGAAUAUGUAGUGUAGCGGUGAAAUGCACAGAUAUUACAUAGAAUACCGAUUGCGAAGGCAGAUCACUAACAAUUGAUUGACGCUAAGGGACGAAAGCGUGGGUAGCGAACAGGAUUAGAUACCCUGGUAGUCCACGCCGUAAACGAUGGUUACUAGCUGUUUGGCAUUUAUGUUGAGUGGCUAAGCGAAAGUGAUAAGUAACCCACCUGGGGAGUACGUUCGCAAGAAUGAAACUCAAAGGAAUUGACGGGGGCCCGCACAAGCGGUGGAGCAUGUGGUUUAAUUCGAUGAUACGCGAGGAACCUUACCAGGGCUUAAAUGUAGUUUGACAG